ACAAGUACCGUGAGGGAAAGUUGCAAAGAACUUUGAAGAGAGAGUUCAAGAGAACGUGAAAUCGCUGAAGUGGAACCGGAGAGAGUUAACAUAACUUGGUAGCUAUAUUCUCUAUAGUCGCUUAGCUGUGGCUUUGGGGGGUGGACGCUACCUGUUGUUGCGCUGACUGCGUUGAUCAUACUUUCCUAACAAUGUAGUGUUGCCCACAUUGUGGUGUCUUGCUUAUUGGGAGGUUUGUCAUGGUUAACGUCAAGCCUUAGUUUCUAGGGAGUCAGUGUGAAAGUUAACCACCUUUCCGACCCGCCUUGAAACACGGACCGAGGAGUGUAAUUUACACGCGAGUCAAAGGGCUGAGGAAACCUUAUGGCAUAAUGAAAGUAAAGACCGGUUAACCGGUUGACAUGGGAUCCGACUGAACUUCUUCGAAACGGAGCACCAUGGCCCUGUCUUGUCUGCUUGCAGAUGGGCAGCGGUAGAGCGUGUAGGUUGCGACCCGAAAGAUGGUGAACUAUGCUUGAGCAGGACGAAGCCAGAGGAAACUCUGGUGGAAGUCCGUAUCGGUUCUGACGUGCAAAUCGAUCGAUAGACUUGAGUAUAGGGGCGAAAGACUAAUCGAACCGUCUAGUAGCUGGUUCCUUCCGA
rnacentral:rRNA from 1 species